GAUGAACGCUGGCGGCGUGCCUAAUACAUGCAAGUCGAGCGAACAGACGAGGAGCUUGCUCCUCUGACGUUAGCGGCGGACGGGUGAGUAACACGUGGAUAACCUACCUAUAAGACUGGGAUAACUUCGGGAAACCGGAGCUAAUACCGGAUAAUAUAUUGAACCGCAUGGUUCAAUAGUGAAAGACGGUUUUGCUGUCACUUAUAGAUGGAUCCGCGCCGCAUUAGCUAGUUGGUAAGGUAACGGCUUACCAAGGCAACGAUGCGUAGCCGACCUGAGAGGGUGAUCGGACACACUGGAACUGAGAAACGGUCCAGACUCCGACGGGAGGCAGCAGUAGGGAAUCUUCCGCAAUGGGCGAAAGCCUGACGGAGCAACGCCGCGGGAGUGAUGAAGGUCUUCGGAUCGUAAAACUCUGUUAUUAGGGAAGAACAAAUGUGUAAGUAACUAUGCACGUCUUGACGGUACCUAAUCAGAAAGCCACGGCUAACUACGUG
rnacentral:rRNA from 1 species